UACGUAGGGGGCAAGCGUUGUCCGGAUCUAUUGGGCGUAAAGAGCUCGUAGGUGGUUCGGUAAGUCGGAUGUGAAAUCUCCAGGCUCAACCUGGAGGGGUCAUUCGAUACUGCCGUGACUAGAGGUCGGUAGGGGAGUGUGGAAUUCCUGGUGGAGCGGUGAAAUGCGCAGAUAUCAGGAGGAACACCCGUAGCGAAGGCGGCACUCUGGGCCGAUACUGACACUGAGGAGCGAAAGCGUGGGGAGCGAACAGG
rnacentral:rRNA from 1 species